rnacentral:lncRNA from 1 species
AUACAAUCAAUGUAGUUCCGGUACGGGCUACAAAACAAGGAAAAUGCUAUGCUACCCGCUGCAGGCCCACGAUCACGACCACGGCUCAGACCUCUGGAUAGUUCACGUAAAGGCGAUCUGUCUCCUCGUCGUACUGCCACGCCAGCUGGGUGCCGUCGGGAUCAUCUGCCUCUGGGGUACCUGUACCUGCUGGGAGUGUCGGAGGAAUCCGUGAGCCACGGGGACUCAGCAAUCUAAGACCUUGGUGCCAGAACUAGUCAUGUUAUUGGGUAAGGAAGGGGUGAAGUGUUUCAGGUUGUUGCAUCCUAAGUUUGAACAAGUGGCUAGCUUACGCGAAGGAGAAGUGACAGUGUUCUAUACUAACGAUCGUGAUUACUUGAUCAGAAAGUGAUCCUGAACACCUACCUACGGCAUUCAUAACCCCACCGUGUUCCCGAUCGAAGAGAGAUCUUCGAAGGGACAGUCACGGUUACUCACACAGUUGGCAUAUUUUAUUAGUUUUUGUUUAAGUUUUCUAAUACCGGAUGUUAACAAAAUAUUCCAAGUUGCCACAUAACCGCGGGCACGGCUUUCCGAAAGAUUAAACCCUGCAGGGGUGCUCCAACUAGUCCAUCACAAACGUACACAGGCCGCAAAGUCAUCCUCUAUCACGAAUCUCGUGAUCUCGUCGGAUUCCUUAAAGGAAAACCUCAACUCUGGGGAAAACCAAAGCCUCACCGGGAUUCCUAUACGCAAGAUAUACCGCUAAGGCAAGACAAGGCUAGCAGGACCUCCCGUCGUGUCGACGACCCUGAUAAGAGCCGCGUAUCUCAGUCUCAGGACACGACAGAUGAGCUAGACGUCGGGAUGGCUAAACCUCUGGGUGACCAGUGGGGCCCCGGACAUCGCUCAGGUGGGACCAACACUCAUGGGGAGCACUGGCCCGGGUUGUUGAUUAAAUUCCUCGGGGUAGCUAUUCCCUAUGCAGAUUAUUAUGUGAUUAGCAGAUUAAAACCAAAGUUGGGUCCUGCCGGACAAGCCUUAGCACUACGCGAUUUAUCAAGGGGGUCCCCAUAACAACCCCGAACGUGUUAGGAGCGAUCAUUAUGGAAUCAAACACCGGUAACCGGUAACUAAGGCGGCAAUAACGGAACAAGACACCCGGCAAAAGGGCUAGGCCUCCCGUCAUUUACCUAAUAUAUAGAUACAUUAAUUAAAUAACAGAAGUUAAGAUAAUGAUAUCAAGCUCAUGGCAACUCAAGAGUUAUAAACACCUGCAACUACAAUGCUAACAUUAGUAGCUGAGCAAGCCUACCUAGCCAUGCAAAUUUGCUAGGAAAGAGUAAGGUGUUUGGGCUCAUGGCAUAUGAAGAGGCAAUAUACUUUCAGAGGUAGGCAGCGAGCAAUAUGACGUGGAAUCGAAACUAACAUAACAAGUCUAGAUAUGGGAUCAAGGUCAUGUCAUCUUGCCUGUGAUAUCCUCAGCUUGGAAUGGUUCUGGAUCGUCCUGCACGUACUCUCCUGACUCCACGUAAUCGGUCUCCGCUCCCGGUGCUACCCAACACAAGAAUGACAGCCAAUGAACAGCAGCACCACAAAAUGCAGCAAUCACAUGAUGCAUGAGAUGAAA